GACCAAGACACUCACUUUACAGUUAAAGAAGUGUGGGAGUGGGCUCGUGCUCAUGGAAUUAACUGGUCCUACCAUAUUCCCCAUCAUCCUGAAGCCAUACUGGACACCAAUUUCUUUAGUUUUUGGGACUCGGACUGGCUCCCCUUGCUCCUCAGCUUGCAGAUGGCCUAUUGUGGGACCUUGUGAUCCUAUGAGUUCAUAAUUAAUAAAUGCUCCUUUAUAUAUGUAUAUGUAUCCUAUUGGUUCUGUCCCUCUGGAGAACUCUGACU
rnacentral:lncRNA from 1 species